UAUAUACUCCCUCCAUUCGGAAUUACUUGUCGUAGGAAUGGAUGUAUCUAGACAUAUUUUAGUUAUAGAUACAUCUAUUUUCGAAACAAGUAAUUCCGAACGGAGGGAGUACAUG
rfam:Triticum aestivum genome assembly, contig: Triticum_aestivum_CS42_TGACv1_scaffold_112535_2AS